GCAUAAAGAGAGGAGAAAGAAAAGGCAACACACUAUGUGAGGUGCCACCACAGGAUCGAUUACUGAUAUUCCCAAAUCCGAAAGGCCAUACAACAGAGCGAAAAGCUAGCUACAAGAAGGUGUCCAGGUUCAAUGCACUCGAUCAAUCCGCAUCGUUCAAAGUUCAGAGACCCAGAUGAUGGCUAGUUUCAAAGCUGGUGAGACGAUUAGAGCUCCUGAGCCUCUCAAAAAGGGCAUGGAGAUGGUGAUCUUUGGAGAGGCGAGAUGAUGACGACUCGGCGGGAGCUUUUCUUCUUCUUCCUCAAGCGGUAUUAAUUAGGAAGAGGAGAGGCCGUCGGCGUCUGGCAUGGAGUUCCCCCAUUCACACUUCUUGACUCUCUAGUUCGUCCUCGUUCGUUCAGGGCAUCUCGUCUCGUUUGGACACUUCGUGUGUUUCUUUCGCCAUGUGUUUUGUUUGGAUGACCUCUGGAAAUGCAUGCAUGCGUGUGUUUUUCUCGA